rnacentral:rRNA from 1 species
CCUACGGGAGGCAGCAGUGGGGAAUCUUGCGCAAUGGGCGAAAGCCUGACGCAGCGACGCCGCGUGGGGGAUGACGGCCUUCGGGUUGUAAACUCCUUUUACCACUCACGCAGGCCCGGGGUUUUCUUCGGGUUGACGGUAGGUGGGGAAUAAGGACCGGCUAACUACGUGCCAGCAGCCGCGGUAAUACGUAGGGUCCGAGCGUUGUCCGGAAUUAUUGGGCGUAAAGAGCUCGUAGGCGGCGUGUCGCGUCUGCUGUGAAAGACCGGGGCUUAACUCCGGUUUUGCAGUGGAUACGGGCAUGCUAGAGGUAGGUAGGGGAGACUGGAAUUCCUGGUGUAGCGGUGGAAUGCGCAGAUAUCAGGAGGAACACCGGUGGCGAAGGCGGGUCUCUGGGCCUUACCUGACGCUGAGGAGCGAAAGCAUGGGGAGCGAACAGGAUUAGAUACCCUGGUAGUCCAUGCCGUAAACGAUGGGCGCUAGGUGUGGGGACUUUCCACGGUUUCCGCGCCGUAGCUAACGCAUUAAGCGCCCCGCCUGGGGAGUACGGCCGCAAGGCUAAAACUCAAAGGAAUUGACGGGGGCCCGCACAAGCGGCGGAGCAUGUUGCUUAAUUCGACGCAACGCGAAGAACCUUAC